rnacentral:tRNA from 1 species
GCGCCCGUAGCUCAGUUGGAUAGAGCACAUGCCUUCUAAGCCUGUGGUAGUGAGUUCGAAUCUCGCCGGGCGCGCCA